AGCAUUUAUGGGUGCAGUGCUGCCAAUGAGCAGGAAAGCCUGAUAUCCAGUCUUGCUCAUUUGUGGAAGUACACAAAUGUAACCCCUUGUCCCCUCUGCAAAUAAGAAGCUCCUGGAUGAAAAAG